rnacentral:rRNA from 1 species
AUUGAACGCUGGCGGCAGGCCUAACACAUGCAAGUCGAGCGAGCGGCGGACGGGUGAGUAAUGUCUGGGAAACUGCCUGAUGGAGGGGGAUAACUACUGGAAACGGUAGCUAAUACCGCAUACCAUCAGAUGUGCCCAGAUGGGAUUAGCUAGUAGGUGGGGUAACGGCUCACCUAGGCGACGAUCCCUAGCUGGUCUGAGAGGAUGACCAGCCACACUGGGACUGAGACACGGCCCAGACUCCUACGGGAGGCAGCAGUGGGGAAUGUUGGACAAUGGGCGCAAGCCUGAUGCAGCCAUGCCGCGUGUGUGAAGAAGGCCUUCGGGUUGUAAAGCACUUUCGGCGGAGAGGCGGUACCCGCAGAAGAAGCACCGGCUAACUCCGUGCCAGCAGCCGCGGUAAUUC